UUAGCCGGACUCGCAAUCGCUAUAUCGGAAGAUGAGAUAUAGAGGAAAGUCCGAACUUUACUUGUCCAAGUAGUUUUCUCAUGGGGACAAAAAACGGUAGCAGGCAAUUCCUGCAGAGAGUAAUCUCAGAGGUGCGAACAGAGACGCUUUGUUUGGAAACAAACAAAGUAUCCAUAUUAGGUUUAUGCCUAUUGUGGAUAAGUUUUAUAGCAAUAUAAAAUAUGAAACGGCUAAAUCCUUACCGGAAAGCAAGGCGGAAGUAGCGCCGCUUGAGCAUUAAAAGCGAUUUUAAUGCCAGAGAAAUGAUUGCAUCGCGCAAGCGAAACAGAAUUCGGUGUAUAGUCCGGCUAAUCAA
rnacentral:RNase_P_RNA from 1 species